AUUGAACGCUGGCGGCAGGCCUAACACAUGCAAGUCGAGCGGAUGCAGGGAGCUUGCUCCUGGAUUCAGCGGCCGACGGGUGGGUAAUGCCUAGGAAUCUGCCUGGUUGUGGUGGAUAACGUCCGAACACGGGCGCUCAUACCGCAUACGUCCUGAGGGCGUACGUGUGGGAUCUUCGGACCUUCCGCUAUCAGAUGAGCCUAGGUCGGAUUAGCUAGUUGGCGGGGUAAAGGCCUACCAAGGCGACGAUCCGUAACUGGUCUGAGAGGAUGAUCAGUCACACUGGAACUGAGACACGGUCCAGACUCCUACGGGAGGCAGCAGUGGGGAAUAUUGGACAAUGGGCGAAAGCCUGAUCCAGCCAUGCCGCGUGUGUGAAGAAGGUCUUCGGAUUGUAAAGCACUUUUAGUGGGGAGGAAGGGCAGUAAGUUAAUACCUUGCUGUUUUGGCGUUACCAAAAGAAUAAGCACCGGCUAACUUCGUG
rnacentral:rRNA from 1 species